rnacentral:misc_RNA from 1 species
CUGUUCGAGCGUCAUUUCAACCCUCAAGCGCAGCUGGUAUUGAGCCCGUGUCAGCGAUGGCAGGCUCCAAAAUCAGUGGCGGCGCCGCUGGGCCCUGAACGUAGUAAUAUCUCUCGUUACAGGCGCUCGGCGCGCUUCUGCCAAAACCCCAACUUUCUAUGGUUGACCUCGGAUCAGGUAGGGAUACCCGCUGAACUUAA